rnacentral:rRNA from 1 species
AAUGAACGCUAGCGGCAGGCUUAAUACAUGCAAGUCGAGGGACAGCACAGGUAGCAAUACUGGGUGGUAACCGGCAAACGGGUGCGGAACACGUACACAACCUUCCUUUAAGUGGGGGAUAGCCCAGAGAAAUUUGGAUUAAUACCCCGUAAUAUAGUUGAAUGGCAUCAUUUGAUUAUUAUAGCUACGGCGCUUAAUGAUGGGUGUGCGGCGUGAUUAGAUAGUUGGCGGGGUAACGGCCCACCAAGUCUACGAUCAGUAGCUGAUGUGAGAGCAUGAUCAGCCACACGGGCACUGAGACACGGGCCCGACUCCUACGGGAGGCAGCAGUAAGGAAUAUUGGUCAAUGGACGCAAGUCUGAACCAGCCAUGCCGCGUGAAGGAUUAAGGUCCUCUGGAUUGUAAACUUCUUUUAUUUGGGACGAAAAAGGGCCUUUCUAGGUCAACUGACGGUACCAGAUGAAUAAGCACCGGCUAACUCCGUGCCAGCAGCCGCAGUAACAC